UAAAGCUCACUGCUUUGCUGCAGUUCAUCAUCAAUCAUCCGCCGCCCACUACAGUCUCUACCACUUCUUCACGUAACCCUUUAUUACGGCUGGACCAAACCAAAGCAACCAACCCACCACAUCCACCCGGAGACCGUCUCACCACUCCAGCCAGUCUCCGCAGCUCCACGGCGACGGACUCCUUCGAUCUAGUUGAAGCGCCUGCGCGCCCUCCGCUGCCACCAAGGCCACGUCGAGCGUGCGGUGGCUGAGCAUCCAUUACGCGGUGCAUUCGAAUGGGCGCUGUGCAUGCGGCGGUAUUACUCUCACAUACACCAAUGCAUCACUUCAAAACAAGAGAGGAAUUCAUAUAUAUCUAAUCCAGGAACAAGCCUGCAGAUUUGGCUGGAGCAGUAGUACAAAAGAUGGAAAAGGGGGAGACACGAACUAAGUUCGGGCAGGUUCAUUUGAUCGAUUUAGAUACAUUAUAAGGUCCUUUCCCAAAAAGGUACUAAUAGGCUACCGCAUGGAUCGAUCCUGUCCACAAUAUAGCUUAGGCCCCUCCCAAUGCUUCACCUUGUACAGGUGCUAAGCCUUCCACGUAGGCAAAAAAUCUGACGUGGCAAGUUAUUUAAGACGAGAGAGAUGGAUGUGGUGACCCCAGGAAGAAACAAUGUUAAGCGCGUGAACUAGACAAAACAUUUAAAGAAAGGAAGCCCACCAAUACAUGAAAAGCUUUAGUUGCAAAAUCAUUAAAUGCAGCAAGCUUAGCUACUAUAAGCUAAGCACCUAUGCAUUGGGGAGUAUAGUUGCUAAGCUAUUUAAUGUGCUUAGCACCUCAUCUAAGCACCGAUGCACUGGCAGCAGCCUUACAUACUGUUUUCCCGUUCGGGAACAGAGAAACGAGCUUGCUAGCUGAGUCACAACUCUUUGCUCUAUCUUUGGCUAUUCUUCUACAUCUGGUGCCUCACUUUGGAGCAAGUGCCUCCUUUUAUACACACGAGAGCAGCCCUUGGGAUAGCUUCUGGGAGAAUUCACCUGCAUAAUUUCCCUCUUCUUUCUUCUUGGCCAUCAUGCACCUAGUCUAUAGGUCUUUUAGGCUUUAUAGGCUUUGCAGCCAUUUGUAGCCCUUUUUCCGAGGCCAUAAUUUUGGUGCAGCCUUUGUGUCUUGGCAGCAAAUGAGGGUAGCCCUAUCUUCCUUUUGAGAUUUAGCUGCGCGUCAUGAUUGUGUCUUGGAGAUUAUUUUCAGGAAUAUUGCAGCCUUCUUGCGUGUCUUCCAGUAUGCGAAUGGUUGCCUGUACGCAUGCAAAGAUGCAUUUGGAUGCAUGCCUGGUGAUGAUGUGUCUUUUCAUAUAUUUUUUGGGUCUUCCCUGCCCAUAUAUUUUAUAUUCUCAUAUCAAUACUCGAUUUCUUAUUUAUUUAGAUUCUAUCGAUAUUUGGAUCGGGUAUAGGUCCUCCACGUCUAACAAUUUAUAGGAAUAUCAACUCAAAUUCGGUAAUAUUUUUAAUUGGUUUUGUGUGGGCAUUAUUGAGGUGACUACCCAUGUCCUGUGAUAUCCAUAUGAUCAUGACCAACUUCAGAUCACAUUCUUUAUUUAUUUCUUCAUGUUUUCUAUUCAUUUCCGUUCAUACUUCAUUUAAAAUUUCUUCCUUCAAUUCCUUCUCAUUGUCUUUCAUAAUUAAAAAAAAAAAUCAAUUUAUUGAUCUACAUAUUCGCUGUCCAAAGGGUAUAUUUCCUUUAGAAGGCAUUCUUUGUAUGUAUAAUAUUUUGGGGAGUAUUCUUCCUUUAUAUUCUUUGAUCCCGACGCUUCUCCCUUUGUAGUUUUAAGUGUUGAUGGAUUGGAUGCAUUUUUAUCUUUGCCUCUUCGCUUCUAAAUAUAUUCUUUAGCCUUUGGAUCGCUAUAAUAAUUCUCGCUUAUCACCUUUCUUUCCCACAACAAUGCGUCAUUUAAAUUAUAAUAUUUUUAAAAUGUUAAAUCUUGUCCUCUUCGUUUCACAUCUAUCCUUUCUAACAUAAUAUCUUCCCAUGUCAUGUAUAUUCCUGGUUUACUUCCAUCAAGCAAAAUAUAUAAUGAUUUUUCUUUUUGUACUUAAAUUUUUGCUGAUUUUGGUGAGUUUCUGUUCAUCAUAUUAAAAUAUUCUGCGAGGCUAUUGAGAAUUGAUAACAUAUAUCAUUUUUGUUCUCUCUAAACGGUAUAUAGAUACCAAAAUUAUCUAAUAUGGACCACUGAAUUUCAUCAACGAGGAUAUGGCUCCUUGAUUUAAAAUUGAAUGUAUUAUGUGAAAUAUUUUCAGCUUGUCAUCUUGUCCAAAAAUGAAGCAUUCAUUCCCGGUGGAGAGUAACCCUCUCUUCAUUCUUGUAAAACUGAUAAAUGGGAAAAUAUGUAGUUUCAUCAACCUAAAUAUAUCAGUUCGAAUUUCAUCAACCCAAAUAUGUCAGGUCAAACUGAUGAACGAGAAGCAUCAUUUAGGUUUAACUGACAUAAUGACCCACUCAUGAAUUUUUUUAGAAAUGAAGAGAGGAUUACUCUCCACUGGGAAUGAAUACUUCAUUUUAGGAGAAGAUAACAAGCUGAAAAUAUUGCCACACAAAACAUUCAGUUUAAAACCGAAGAGCCAUAUCCUCGUUGAUGAAAUUCAAUGGUGCAUAAUAGAUAAUUUCUGGUUUCAACACACCUUUAAGAGAGAAGAAAAAAGAUAUAUUCUAUCAAUUCUCGAUAGCUUCCCAGAAUAUUUUAAUACGAUGAAUAGAAAUUUACCAAAAUAAAAAAAUAAGUACAAAAAUAAGAAUCAUUAUAUAUUUUGUUUGAUGGAAGUAAUCCAGGAAUAUACAUGGCAUGGGAAGAUAUUAUAAUAGAAAAGAUAGAUUUGAAAUGAAGAGCGGAAUUUUAACAUUUAAAAAAUAUGAUAAUAUAAAUGAAGAAUUGUUUUGUGCAAGAAAGGUGAUAAGAGAGAAUUAUUAUAACAACCCAGAAGUUAAAGAGGCGAAGAUGCAAAGAUAACACUACAUCCAAUCCAUCAACAAUUAAAAAUACAAAGGGAGAAGCAUCUGGAUCAAAGAAUAUAAAGGAAGAAGACUCCCUAAAAUAUUAUACAUAUAAAUAAGGCCUUCUAAAGGAAAUUGACCCUUUGGACAGCGAAAUAUAUAGAUCAAUGUAUGGAUGGAUGUUUUUUAAGAAUUAUCAAUGAUAAUGAAGAAGGGAUUGAAGGAAGAAAUCUUAAAAGAAAUAAGAAUGGAAAUGAAUAAAUUUUAUUUGAAGAAAUAAAGAAAGAACAUGAUACGAAGUUUGAUUACAAUCUCUCAUAUGAUGAUCUCAUUGAUAUCGCAGGACAUGGUAGCCACCUUAAUAAACCCCAUAAAAACAACAAAAAAUAUUACUAAAUUUGGGUUGAUAUUGCUAUCAAUUACUCGGACACAGGAGGACCUAUACUUAACCCGAAUAUUAAUUGAAUCAAAAUAAGUCGGAAUACUAUUAAGUAUUGAUCUGAAAAUAUCAAAAAGAUGUGGGCAGGCAAGAUCGCUAUAUAUAUACCAACAAUAUGGCGAUAAAAAUUAUAUUAUAAUUAAAAAAUAUUCUCUAAUCAAUAUUAUAUCAUAUUUUGAUUAGGUUAAUAUGUGGAUAGAUAUGCGCUUUUUAUCUGAAUAGUAUGUACUAUUCACUAGGUAGGACACUAUUCACAAUAGUGUUUACUAUUCAAUACACUAUUUGGAAUAGUAUUCACUAUUCACCGCAAUAUCUAAUUCAAUACGAUUAUUUGCACGUUCUAACUUGACUAUUUCUUUGAUGCAGUAUCUAUUAUGGCUGGCGAGGCCAACAAUCCGCCCAACGCUGUACGUAGUGGUGUAAAAUCCUACUCAGUACUCACCAUAUUUUUCAUUAUAUUGUAUCAGAUGUAGCUAGUUACGUUCACUUAGUAGUUUUAGUUUCAAAUUUAUGGGUAAAUUCCUGUCGUCUUCCCAGGCAGUUCCACUCGAAGGGAACACUUCUCUACGGCCACAAGGUUCUCAUUCCAAUACCACUCUGGACUACACAGAGAACUACACACGUAGAGGUUUCUCCUGUAGGAUUCCUAGCAUAAGAACUCGUCCCAUAAAUUCAUAAAUAAAAAUACCAAGUGAAACCAAGAAACUACAUCAUUUCCACAACAUAAUUUACAUAUGGCUGUCCCUUUCGCGAGGCCUCGAAGGGAUUACACAAGCUAAAGAAAAUUACCUUCUAACUAACUUCUUGAGCCUUCAAUGCUCUGGAUAUUGUGGCUCUUACUGUAGGAUGAGGAACUACUACUACUACUACUACUACUACUACUACUACUACUACUACUACUACUGAGCAACGAGCUUGCUAGCUGGGUCGCAGCUCUCUGCUCUAUCAGUGGCUGGUUCUUCUCCGUCUGGUGUCUCUCUUUCCAGCAAACGCCUCUUUUUAUAGGCGAGAGAGAAGCUCUCUAGAUGGCUUCCGGGAGAAUGUACCUAUUUAUUUUAUAUGUGGUAGGGUGCAUGCUUGUCCUUCUUGGGUGUGGAUAAGAGCAAGAGAUAGUGCCCCGAGAAGCUCCAAUCUUCAGGAAUCUUUCAAGUCAUUGCUUUUUUCACAUGGGCAUUGUCUCUCGGUGAAUAAUUGGCUGGCCUCGGCGUAUUAGUCUUCGCUCUUCAGCCAUGCAAGUCUUCAUGUGAUUAGCCUUCUGAUAGAUUGCUACUUCUGGCUUCAAGAGUGCUUGAACUGGUGCACACGUACAUACAUGCCGAAACUUCAUUACUAUUCACCAGUAAUAUUCCAUUUAAUGAUAUUGUAAAUUCUAUCAAUAUUCGGGCUUGGAGGACCUAUACCCGACCCGAAUGUUGAUAGAAUUUAUAAUAUCAUUAAAUGGAAUAUUACCUAAAUAUAACCACCUCCAAUAUUGAUAAUGUAUUAUCAACUAUAUGGGCAGGGAUGACCCCUGUAAAAAAUAAAAAUAAAAAAUGAUAAUAAUGAUAUAUAGUACUGGUAAAUAGUAAUGAAGCUUUGGCAUGUAUGUACGUGUGCACCAGCACAAGCACUCUUGAAGCCAGAAGAAGCAAUCUAUCAUAAGGCUAAUCGCAUGAAGACUUGCAUGGCUGAAGAGCGAAGACUGAUACGUAGAGGCCAGCCAAUUAUUCACCGAGAGACAAUGCCCACGUGAAAAAAGCAAUGACUUGAAAGAUUCCUAAAGAUUGAAGCUUGUCAGGGCACUAUCUCUCGCUCUUAUCCACACCCUAGAAGGACACGCAUGCACCCUACCACAUAUAAAAUAAAGAGGUACAUUCUCCCAGAAGCCAUCUAGAGAGCUGCUCUCUCACCUAUAAAAGGAGGCAUUUGCUGCAAAGAUAGACACCAGACGGAGAAGAACCAGCCAUCGAUAGAACAGAGAGCUGCGACCCAGCUAGCAAGCUCGUUGCUCAGUAAUAGUAGUAGUUCCUCGUCCUUCAAUAAGAGCCACAAUAUCUAGAGCAUUGUAGGCUCAAGAAGGUAGUUAGAAGGUAAUUUUCUUUAGCUUGUGUAAUCCCUUUGGGGCCUCCCGAAAGGAAAGCCAUAUGUAAAUUAUGUUGUGGAAAUGAUGUAGUUUCUUGGUUU